rnacentral:rRNA from 1 species
GGUUAAGCGACUAAGCGUACACGGUGGAUGCCCUGGCAGUCAGAGGCGAUGAAGGACGUGCUAAUCUGCGAUAAGCGCCGGUAAGGUGAUAUGAACCGUUAUAACCGGCGAUUUCCGAAUGGGGAAACCCAGUGUGAUUCGUCACACUAUCAUUAACUGAAUCCAUAGGUUAAUGAGGCGAACCGGGGGAACUGAAACAUCUAAGUACCCCGAGGAAAAGAAAUCAACCGAGAUUCCCCCAGUAGCGGCGAGCGAACGGGGAGGAGCCCAGAGCCUGAAUCAGCAUGUGUGUUAGUGGAAGCGUCUGGAAAGGCGCGCGAUACAGGGUGACAGCCCCGUACACAAAAGCGCAUGUGCUGUGAGCUCGAUGAGUAGGGCGGGACACGUGGUAUCCUGUCUGAAUAUGGGGGGACCAUCCUCCAAGGCUAAAUACUCCUGACUGACCGAUAGUGAACCAGUACCGUGAGGGAAAGGCGAAAAGAACCCCGGCGAGGGGAGUGAAAAAGAACCUGAAACCGUGUACGUACAAGCAGUGGGAGCACAGGUUUACCUGUGUGACUGCGUACCUUUUGUAUAAUGGGUCAGCGACUUAUAUUCUGUAGCAAGGUUAACCG